GGUGCUGAACAACGUGUUUCCUUUUUGGGUGGGCCACAGUAAUGAUAAUUUCUAAUACACUAUCUUAAAGUUCUUUGUAAUUCUAUUUAAUUACGAGAGCUACAAAACCAGCCAUCCUACUGUAUCCACUGUAGAACCCAGCGCUGUGAUGGCACACCCUAGGUACUCAGCCAGUGCUCACGGAUCUAAAUUGCAUUGGUACCAGAAGGAUGCUCAUUGAUGUACCCUGGUCUAGGCUGAAAAUUGAUGUGCUUCAAGGAGGGUGAUGCUAGGCUACACCUUGGACCAGAGCCUCAGGGAGUUGCUGUGUUGCUACAGCCAGUGAAUUGAAUACAACGGGGGUGUGCAGUGGGUGCAUGUGGCAGGGAUUUCAUUACUUUUUCGCAACACACCUUACCACAUUUCUAGUCUGUCCAGCUUCUGGAAGGAUGAAUAAUUAAAGAGAAAUGGUACGUGUCCAAAUCAGCAAUGUCCGUGCACACAGAGUUGAACAGUGAAGCAGUCUGGAAUUUUUACUCUGGUUUUAGAUAUUUUUUUUUUUCCUUCUCAUUCUUUAGUUACUCCUCCUAGCUGAGCAAAAUUAUUUGCUGCAAGCCCAGAAGUAAAUCAAGCCAUUUCUAUCCAGCAUCAAAACCUUUUUGUACCUUAAAGCAUACCCCCCCCGCCCCAUAUUAUGUAUGUAGUGUUUAUAUAUGACCUGUUUUCUGAAUAAUCUCAAAGUCAGGAUCUUGUUUUAGUGGAAGGCAGGGGGAGCUAUAAAAUGUGACUAAACUCACAUGGAAUUAGCUGAGGAAUCCACUGUAUCCAUUAUUCCAGCUCAAGCAGGGUUGCUCUGUGGUUCAGUCACCAUAAAAAGACCCACUGAUAGCAACUCUGUUCAUGGCAGUGUCACUUUACAUGGCAAUAAUAAUAACAUACAAUCACUCGUGCCAACCCAAAACAAAACAUUCGUGGUAUAAGAUAACAUCAGAUUGUAUCAGUGUGAAAAUCCAGCCUAAUAUUACUUGCUUGGACCCAAAUGUCAUUCAGCCACCUUGCUUUAAGACAUUAAUGCCAUUUUCUGUGGGUGGAAGGACAAAGCUUAAAUUUUCUUUUGUGUUUCAGGGGUUUGUUGGAGCAACACUGGCCAGCGAGGCUCCAGGUGGACCAGAGAACUGGAUGUUUUGAAAGGACUCUAUGGAUGUGUUAGAAAAAGAAACUCUUGCCCUCCGCAUUUUUUAAGUAACUCAAAGUAAAUUAAAAAACAACUACUGCUAUAUUAAGCAAUGCCUACGUUUCCCAGGAUAUCCAGAUUUUGAGCAUAUAAUUCAAUUUCAUAAGCAUCCGUUAUGUACAAAGGCAUGGUACUAGACAUUCAUAAUCAUGCAGAGAUAAAAUUACCACAUAGGAGGGGGAGAGCAUGUAUACAAAAUACUACAAAACAGGACAAAAUGCUGGGAGAAGAGACGAAAAAUGCUUUGCUAUAGGAUUCUGAGUAGUGUGGCAGAAUGCCCAGUCGGGGAAAGGAGAAAAGAUUCAACCGACCAUUGAUCAUUUGAUCUUUGCCGGCAUCAAUACUGAAUAUCAAGAUUUAGUAAAUGAAUGAAUCAGUGAUGUGUUUUGUCAGUUAAACCAGGAGUGAUCAGGAUAGUUUUUAAUCUAUGGAAAGGGAGAGAAGAGGACAUUCCAGAUGGAGGAAAAAAUAUAGGCAAUGGAACAGCAGCAAGAAAAUUCAUUGUAAUACUGGGGGAAACAUGGUUUUGUAUGAUUGGAAGAGGUUUCGUAGAGCAGGAGUGGCUAGGUCCACAGAAGUCAUUUUUGGUCUACAAAGUUGAGAUGAGAAACUUAAGUUUGAUUCAGGGAAAACUAUAAAAAUUGGCAAAUGAUGCAAUUUGAGUAGGGCUUAUUCUUAUAGUGAAGCACAUGAUUUUGGGCCAGAGAGACUUGGAUAUUAGUUCCAUCAGUUAUAAACUGAAUUAUUCUGUGAAUGUUAAUUAAUCUCCCUAAGUCUCAGGUUCCUCAUUAGUAAAGUGGAGAGGAGUCCACCCUGAAUGUACAAAUCCAAGGACCUGAAGAACACUAACUCCAGAAUAAGGCUACCUUAAUGGAGAGAGGGUUGGAAUGGGUCUGGGGAAGAAGAUCCAAAGAGAAUUUUAACUUUUUCUUAAGCAAAUAUGGUAAAAGGUUAGCGCUAUCAAUUCUAGGUGCUGAAAACAUUAAUAUUAUUUUCAAGCAUUCUAAAUGUUUGAAAUAUUUCACAAAUAAAUAAGCCCAACUUACAGUCUUGUGGUUGCUGGACAUAAUAUUUAUGAAGUGUGUGACACAGACCUUGGCAUAUAGCAAGAUUUCAUAAGUGAAAGCUAUUUCUUUGUUGUUUUUGCAAAUACAAUGAGGUCAGUGGAAUAGAAAAUAUAGAGUGAAAGAGAAAUGGCAGGAUAAAAUCAUGGGGCAUGCAGGACUUCCACUUGGAUGGAAGAACAGGGACCAAAUUUGUCUCCCCACUUGAACAACUGGAGAAAUGGGCAAAUACAAGAAACAAAGUUUUUUCAAGUCAGUGGACACGAGACAAUGAAUGGCAGUGUUCUCAGAAAGAUGGGAAACAAAUGAAGUGAGUCUUGUGACUGCCCCAGGUUAUUGCUUGGAGAGAGCUUCUAGGAUAUGGAGUAGGAAAGGAAAAAGAAAUCAGGGGAAUCCUAGUUGUCUUCCUGAAUUGAGGAGACAAAACUGGGGCUACUGGGAGGUCAAUGUCCCAAGCCCCUGGAGUUGCAUGGUUUGCAUGGGAGAAUACAUGAGAAUAGAGGACUCUGGGCGGGUUGUGGAGGAUAUCUCAUACAUAGUCAACUGAGUAACCAUCAGAACCUGCAUGUAAGGAAACUCUGCAAGGCUGGAAAAAGAACCAUUCAUGAGGAUAAGAGGCCUUAAGAACUUACACAGGAGUUCCCAUCGUGAUGCAGCGGAAACAAAUCCUACCAGGAAGCAUGAGGUUGCGGGUUCGAUCCCUGGCCUCGCUCAGGGGGUUGAGGCUCUGGUGUUGCUGUGAGCUGUGGUGUAGAUCACAGAUGUGGCUGGGAUCUGGCGUUGCUGUGGCUCUGGUGUAGGCUGGCAGCAACAGCUCGGAUUAGACCCCUACCUGGGAACCUCCAUAUGCUGUGGGUGCGGCCCUG
rnacentral:lncRNA from 1 species